UGGGGAAUAUUGGACAAUGGGCGAAAGCCUGAUCCAGCCAUGCCGCGUGUGUGAAGAAGGUCUUCGGAUUGUAAAGCACUUUAAGUUGGGAGGAAGGGCAGUAAGCGAAUACCUUGCUGUUUUGACGUUACCGACAGAAUAAGCACCGGCUAACUCUGUGCCAGCAGCCGCGGUAAUACAGAGGGUGCAAGCGUUAAUCGGAAUUACUGGGCGUAAAGCGCGCGUAGGGGGUUCGUUAAGUUGAAUGUGAAAGCCCCGGGCUCAACCUGGGAACUGCAUCCAAAACUGGCGAGCUGGAGUAGGGCAGAGGGUGGUGGAAUUUCCUGUGUAGCGGUGAAAUGCGUAGAUAUAGGAAGGAACACCAGUGGCGAAGGCGACCACCUGGGCUCAUACUGACACUGAGGUGCGAAAGCGUGGGGAGCAAACAGG
rnacentral:rRNA from 1 species